UCCAAUACAUUGUGGCUGAAUCCACUUCAAGUUGGGGUUUUUUUGGGGGUUUUUUUUGGUUGGGUUUUUUUUUUUUUUUUUGCCUCUCACAAAGGAGAAUCCCAGAUACCUAGAGGCCAGAGGUCCAGGGCGAUGGGUGGGCUGUGUCGGGGCCCGGCCCAGCCUGGCCUUCCGACAGCAUCCAGGCAGGCCCUCUUUCCCUCCACCGUCUUGGAUGGGCUUAAUUUAUUGUAGGAAACCCUUGAAGGCGCAGGAGCUUUUGGAGAGCCGGGGACAAUAGGCAUAAAGCAUGCAUUUAAGCCGUCUGAAUGGAGGCUAGAUUUACUGUCUGGGCCAGACGGGAUUUUUGUCCCCAAGUCAUCUCGGAGUACAUUGGCCACUAAAGAUCUCAACAGAAGACGAAGACGGAACAAAAGAAGUAAAUUUUAAAAGGAACUUUGUCAAGGAGUUUUAGAUGUUCACCAGAUAGAAAACCGCGGCUGCCCUCACCGAAAUGACUUUUGGAUUUGCCCAGUGGUUAUGGAUCAGAGGAAGAUGCUAAUGAAGUCGUUUAAAUGCACGUUUGAUGGACCCCAGAGAAUGGGACCAAUUUCAUACAAGCCCACAGCAAGGUUAAGGAAUGAAAGAAGGUGGCCGUUAGAGUUGCUGCCGGGGACAAGGCUCCAUUGUCGGGGCUGCCUUUUUCAGCCGUGAAGCGUGAAGCGUGUUUUGAACUACAGUGUUUACCAACGUGUACAUCCUAGUCUGGCCGACCGGGCCUGCAGAAUUUAUGACCAGGAACAAACCUCUUAGAGGGGAAAAGAAAACAGCUCUUACCAGCUGGGAAAGGAGCUCAGAUCAUGCCCUGGAGAAGCAGGUGACAUCGCGGAAUUUUCCUGUUCCAGAUGCCAGAAGUCUGAAAUGAAGGUGUAAAGCAGGGUGGUUCCUUCUGGAGGCUCUGAGAGAAUCACCCCAGGCCUCUCUCCAGCUUCUGGUGCUGGUAUUCUCAGGCUUGUAGGCGCAUCACCCAUGUCUGCCUCCAUCUUCACAUGGCCUUCUCCUCUGUGUCUGCCUGAAGUCUCCCUUCAUUUCUCUUGUAAGGACAUCAGUCAUUGGAUUUAGAGCCCACCCUAAACCCAGAAUGAUCUCAUCUCAAGAUUACAUCUGCACAGACGCUAUUUCCAGAUAAGGUCACAGUCAAAGGUACCAGGGGUUAGGAUAUGAACAUAUCUUUUUGAAAGACACGAUUUAACCUACAGCAGGUGCUCAGGGCAGUUGGGUGGGGGCCUGUGCUAGGGGCCCAACAGCCAAGGCUUAAAGCCGCACUCCACACCUAGGCCUGUGACACCUCCCACAAGCUUCUUCACCUCUCAAGCCUCAACUUCUACUUCUGCAAACAGGGAACAAUAAAAGUAUCUCCCUGCCCCCACCUUGCAGGGUUUCCAGUUCCAAUGUCUACACACUCACCUGGGAGUUAUCUGAAAUUGUUGUUCACCUGCUUAAACCUUUUGAGUUUCCAGCACCCCCCAGAAGUCCCCACCCUCUAGUCCCUUAGCAAGAUACUGGCCCUGCGUGAGCUUCCCACCUUCCUUGACAGCUGCAUCUCUCAUCAUUAGGACCUGGGCAACACUGCAGAAUAUGGCAGGUCUUCCCUCAUCUCUGUGCUUUGCCUCCAUUCCCUGACUUCUCUCCCAUCCUCCUCCUGUCACCUGGCCUCUCCCCAUCCUACUGGCCUUAAAGCUCAGCUCCUGAAGCCUCCCUGAUGCUCCUCCCUUCAUAGCCCCUCCCAGCCUGGCCACGUGGGCUCGGGCAGCCCAGAGCCUGGGCCUCCUGGUCACACUCUGAGCACACAGCCCAUUUUCUCUCCAGUGCUGGCUUGUGUUUGACACCAUGCCUGACACAUUGGGGGUGCUCAGUAGACCUGUGUGAGAUGGACAGCCUCCCGUACAGAUGGACGGACAGAUGUACAGCACACUGCAGCCCCGUGGAGAUGCCCUGUGUAAGCCACUGAAGCCUCUGGCCAACAGCAGUGGGAACCUGAGACGUGUCCACAAGCAUGCAUGGGAGCUUGGAAGUGGAUCCUUCAGCCCCAGCCAAGCCUUCAGACGAUGCAGCCUCAGGGACAGUAUGACUGCAGCCUCAUGAGACCCUGAGCCAGAAACACCCCUCCAAGCCACUCCCAGAUGCCUGGCCCUCAGAACCUGGGAGGUAAUAAAUAUUUAUGGCUGUUUGAAGCUGCUGUAUCGGGGGACAAUUUGUUACACAGUAAUAGCUAACUGGUGCAGUCCUGGGACUCUUAGCAGUUUGGAGUAUCAGUUAUUUUGCCAAGGCGGGGAAGUUAACAGUGGUCAUUGCAGCAGCUGCACUUGGGGACCACAAUAAAGAAGCUUUCUCAGACUGGUUUGAACAAAGUGGUGAAUUCUCUGCAAGGACACAGAGGUGUCUCUCAAAACCCAAGGAUGGGACAGCAGGCCUCAAGAAGAACUGGAACCUCUGUCCCUUCUGUGCUUCUUUUUACUCCUGUGUUCUCUGCUUCUUGGAGCACUUGGCAGUUGGGAAGUGGCCAUUUCAAUUCUCGUGGUCAAGAAACCAGCUCAGAAAUAACCCAACCAACACAGGUGGGGUCAGGUGUCCAUCCUGGCUCCAUUUGUCAUGGCGGGAGAUGGUGAUGAAGAGAAACAUCCAGGACCAUUGGUAGGGCACCCGAAUGAGAUUCCAGGAGAGGCCAGUUCUAAGAGAAGGGUACUAGAAAGAUACCCAUUGAAGUCAAUACCACAUGUGGCACAUCCUCCUUUCAGGUGGCAAGUGUGUAGCCAAAGCAAGGUUCAGGGUCCAUAUUUGAAAGUCAGAAACUGAAUAAACUGUUUUCUCCCACCCCGAGCACUGUGGGGAACUCUGCUCACAAAUCCACCAUCCACCAUCACCAGCCGUGCUCAUCUGACCAUUCAUGCAGGCUCACACUUGACCUGAUGUGGGUUCUGUCUCCUUUGCUUGAGAAUUGAAAGGCCUGGGAGAUGCAAAAGCUUUAGGCUCCAGCCAUCUCCCCAUGUCAGGUAGGCCUUUUGCCUAGUGUAUCCAGUUGGUAAUGCUGCAGAGAUGCAUGAAGCUGGAGUCAGAGGCCACCUGUAGUGCUGCCCUGACUUCAGACCUGAGCCCAGCCCAGCAGCAGAGAGGGGGCUGGGAGCCAGAGGAGGCCUCACAGUAACAGCACAGACAGGUGGGGGCCCACAACAGGCCACAUGUGUUCAAACUCGAGUGUGGGCAGAGGAGCAUGGGAAGCUCAGAGCCCUGAGCUCACCCCACACCCAACACGAGUGGGGUCACCCAAAAUCAGCCUGUCAGCACUGUCCCAGCAGCCAGUCGCAUGCUACAUUAACAAAUUUUGCACAGGCCAGCAAGCAGGAUCGCUCACCAGCCACCCUCCUGAACUGGCCUAUGGGGCCCCAGGAUGAUGCCAUAGCCACAAGUCUGGAGUUCCUCAAAGUACCUGGUCAGCACAACUCAGUUAAACAAUGGGCAAAAGACCUGAACAGACACUUCGCCAGAGAAGAUGUACAGAUGCAAGUAAGCAUUUGAAAAGGUGCCCCACAUCGUAUGUCGUUAGGGAAUGGUCCAAUCCAGAACACUGAUGGCACCAAAGGCUGCUGAGCAUGUGGAGCAGCAGAACUCUCAUUCACUGCUGGUGAGAAAAAUGGCGCAGCCCCAAUAGGGAACCCUAAUGCAGACUCUGGACUUCACUGGAAAUGACGUGUCAGUGUAGCUGCGUCAGUUGUAACAAAUGCACCAGUCUGGUGGGCGUGUUGAUAACCGGGGCUGCGCACGUGGGGAGAGAGGACCUGUGGGAAUGCUCUACUUUCCACUCAUUUUUGCUGUGAACUUAAAACUGCUCUUACAAAAUAACAUUGUUUGUUGUUGUUGUUGUUGUUGUUGUUGUUGUUGUUUUUAAGUAUCUAGUCAGCUCCACACAUGACCCGGGCAGAGUGGGAAGUUGUAGAGUGCCCCAAGGAGAGAAAUGGAACCAGGUCUCAUGUGGGGCCAAGUGUGGGCUCCCUGUCCUCUCAGCUGGUCCCAGGAACUGAAGGGAAAUUUAGACAACUUGGAGAAAGACACUCUAGGGCUCGGGGCAAAGGGUGGUGUUGAUGAGAACCAUAUUUUUUUAUUGCUGGUGUAAGCACUUGUAUUUUUCUGAUUUUCCACUGGUUCGAUAAUAAGGGUAAAAGACAAUAAAGCAUACUUUUUAAGCUUU
rnacentral:lncRNA from 1 species